GAGAAGAAGAACGGUUAGUCUCUCUCUCUCUCAUUUCCCUUUCCAUUUCACAUAUCAUCGUAAAAUCCCUAAAUCCAGCUUUCUUAGCUGCAUCGGAAGCCGAUCCGAUCGAUACUUCGUUCAUCUCAGUAAUUACAGAAGGAAAUUAAGAAACUGAUCUAUCUGAAAGCGAUCCAAAACCCUCGUUUUCAUCUCCGUCGGAUGCAUUUGACCCCACCGAUGCAUUAGAAUCCUUCCCUACACUGUCGAUUACUGGUGGGAAUCAAGGAUCUGGUGUGUAUCUACACACAAGUCCACCUAAUGCAUGGCUUGGACUUCCACAUCGCGAAGUUGCCAUGCGUGUCCACAUAUAGAGAUGUAUGUGGAAAGGUGCACGUGGGCUUAGCGGAACUCCUGUAUGGUCUAUUUGUUUAUAUAUUAGUCUUUAUUUUAUAGGUUAUCUUCAGAUCUAUAUACUAUUGAUGAUUCUCUCCCAUUUAUUCUCAACAUUCUCUUAGCAAAUUUCUUUAGCCUUGUCGGCAUUGCAAUAGUUUUGUCAUAUGCACAGGUAAAACUAAAAGGCUUUUUGUUGUAACAAUCCAGAUAUCUGAUUGGACUGUUUUAGUUCUAUAUGAUCAUAUUUCUUAACACUACCUAGAUAAAGUAUGUUGUUCAAACAUUUAAUUGAUAUGUGCAGAUUCUGUUCUUGCUUCUAUUAUUACCGUUUUGGUAUAUCUACAAAAAAUUGCAAGUCUGCAAAGUGGCCCCCAUGGAAAUCCUCUCCCACAUGCACUUUACAAGCAAAAUAUGUGCUAAUAUGGCAUGUGUCCAAGAUAUUUGAUAGGAGCAUAGGAUGGGCUGCACCAUGCAGAUGACGAUGACCAUCUAAUUUUGCUCUUGCAAUUUGAACCACUCACUAUAUCAUUUUUAUCCAUCCAUUUGAUAACCACCAUUUGGUUAGUUAGGAUUGAUUUAUCAUUUUGAUUUCCAACAUGUGCCUUUCAAGAUGUGCCUUACAAUUUGAAUGGUCUAAAAAGCUGUAAUUGUGUGCCACGUGAGGAGUAACUGCCAAUUUUAGAAUGGUAACAACUCUUGCAACAGAACAUGGAAAAGUUAUAUGACAAUCUUGAUCAUACAAAUAACUUAACCGAUUGUGCUUUGAGCAUAAAACAGAAUUUCACCAACCACAUGAAAUUAAUCAUUUGAUUUUGACUUGGAAUUUGAACCAUUCACUGUUAACCAUCCAUAUAACCAUCAAUCAAAUGGUGAUUAUCUUUGAUUUAUUAAUGUGAAUUUUGAAAUGAUAAAUAGCCAUGCAUGAGUGCCACAUUUGAGGAAGAUGACUCACUAAACUACCAUUUUCAAGAUGUUUGUGAGCUCUGACAUGUAUGAUGACUCCUUUGAUAGUUAACUACAAUUUUAAGAAA